GACGAACGCUGGCGGCGUGCCUAACACAUGCAAGUCGAACGGAAAGGCCCUGCUUUUGUGGGGUGCUCGAGUGGCGAACGGGUGAGUAACACGUGAGUAACCUGUACCUGACUUUGGGAUAACUUCAUGAAACUGGGGCUAAUACCGGAUAGGAGCUCCUGCUGCAUGGUGGGGGUGGGAAAGUUUCGGCGGUUGGGGAUGGGCUCGCGGCUUAUGAGCUUGUUGGUGGGGUAGUGGCUUACCAAGGCUUGGACGGGUAGCCGGCCUGAGAGGGUGACCGGCCACAUUGGGACUGAGAUACGGCCCAGACUCCUACGGGAGGCAGCGGUGGCGGAUAGUGCACUAUGGGCGGAAGCCUGAUGCAGCAACGCCGCGUGCGGGAUGACGGCCUUCGGGUUGUAAACCGCUUGCGCCUGUGACGAAGCGUGAGUGACGGUAAUGGGUAAAGAAGCACCGGCUAACUACGUG
rnacentral:rRNA from 1 species